GCACGUUAGCAAGGAGAACGGAUGGCAGUGGGAGUUUACUCGCUAGCCUACGGAUUCUCAGAAAGCUGCCCGAUCUGUGGCCCCUUUUCCGGAGUCUUUUCUUCAUGCAAAAGGCUUGGAUCUGGGCCUGUUCCAGUGAAAGCAGGAUAUCCUUCUCGUCAGACACGUUAAAGGAAAAAGUUUCUUCCAGUCCGCGGCUCAUACACGAGACGCAUGAGGCAGGGACUCCAUACAAUCACGGAUUAUGAAGGGAAAGCCAGCCAUGUCAUAGACAACGGCGCCUUGCUCCCGGACAAGCUAAACACCUUCUUCGCCUACUUUGAGGAAAACAACACAGAGUUGCCGAUGUGGGCCGUCUUGGCCCCUAAGACCCUCACAAACGUGCAGUACCAGUCAAAAAUGCACCAUUGGGAGAAUCUGGUCAGCCCAUCAUCGGAGCACACUGCCUUCCCUCCAGGACAUCUACAGCACUCGGUAUCACAGGAAGGCCAAUCAAUCCCUAUCCCAGUCUGCUGUCCCCACAUGCUUCAAGAUGGCCAC